GAGCGUUGUCCGGAAUCACUGGGCGUAAAGGGCGCGUAGGUGGCGCAACAAGUCAGUGGUGAAAGCUCGACGCUCAACGUCGAGUCGGCCACUGAGACUGUUGGGCUUGAGCACUGUAGAGGCUAAUGGAAUUCCGGGUGUAGCGGUGGAAUGCGUAGAGAUCCGGAAGAACACCGGUGGCGAAGGCGGUUAGCUGGGCAGUUGCUGACACUGAGGCGCGACAGCGUGGGGAGCAAACAGG
rnacentral:rRNA from 1 species